UUCUUAUCGAUAAUAAUUAUAAGUAAUAUCUGCUCAAUGCAAUUAUAAAUAGCCGCAGAAUUUUUACUGUGCUAAGGUAGCAUAAUCACUUGCCUUUUAAUUUUAGGCUAGAAUGAACGAUAAAACAAUUAAUUAAUUUUUUUAAUUUUUUAAAUUUAAAUUAUAUUAAAUAUAAAAAUAUAUUUAUAAAUAAUAAGACGACAAGACCCUAUUGAACUUUACUUUAGUUUAGCUGGGGCAGCUAAUUAAUAAAUAUUUUAAUUACUAAUAAAAAAUAUCUAAUAUAAUUAAUAUAUUAAGUUACCAUAGGGAUAACAGCGUAAUAAUAUUUUUUAGUUCAUAUUUACAAUAAAGAUUACGACCUCGAUGUUGAAUAUUAUAAACUUUUAUAAGCAAAAAUAUAAAAAGUAGAUCUGUUCGAUCUUUAAACUAAUACA
rnacentral:rRNA from 1 species